CCCUUUGUGUCCUAGUGUGUCCACUGUGGGGACACAAGUUAAUAAUUUUUUUCUCAGACGCCUAAUGCGCUCACCGUAUAGCCACAUAUUGCUUAGUUCGUGUAAAUCCCAUAUCUACACAUAGGAGCGCGAACUACAUCGCUGAUCCAUACGGAAACGCAUUGGAUGUAAACUAAUAUCCACGAUUGUGUACUAGCUAUAUGAAGCAGCUAUUUUAUCGUGUUUCGAAGUGAAAAAAAACAUGGAAGAGGAAACAUCAUUCUUAUUUCGUGAUUUGGAGGAGUUGAAUUCUCAGGAUUUAUUCUCUCUUCUAGAAGAAAUACCAUCUGGGAACAACUCGGAGGUUGAUGAUUGUUCUGAUGAUGAGUUACUUCAAGGGAAUGAUGUGGAAAUUGAGAAUGACUAGAUUGACAUGAAUUCUCUCGAUAUCAUUUAUGCGGACGAUCUUUUAGAAAUUGAAAAUUGUGUUGUACAUCAUUCCAAUAAUUCAAUGAAAGUAGCUGCAGAUCAAAAUAUAUGUAGCAGCGAAGAUGAAAUUGAUUUGCAUACUGUCAAGCAAAAAAUUUUACGGAAUAAUACGAUUUGGACAACUGAAAACUCGUACUGCCCACAAAAUAAAAAAGAAUUCAACGAAUCUUAUGGACUGUUUAAAAAAUUUUUUCAGAAUUUCAUACGAAGUAGAUUUUUGUAUUAGGUUUCAUUAAAAAUAAUAAUAUGAUUUA